AGUGAACGCUGGCGGUAUGCCUAAUACAUGCAAGCCGAACGGCAGCACAGUAAGAUUGUGCUCCUACCGGUGGCGACUGGCGGAUGGGUGAGGCAUACAUCGGCAUCUACUUUUUCGUGGGUGAUUUCGUAGAGACACUUACGCUAAUACCGCAUACGACCUACGGGUUAAAUCAGUGGAUCUUCGCACCUUUCGCGAUUCAAUGAGCCGAUGUCGGAUUAGCUAGUUGGCUGGGUAAAGGCCCACCAAGGCAACGAUCCGUAGCUGGUCUGAGAGGAUGAUCAGCCACACUGGAACUGAGACACGGUCCAGACUCCUACGGGAGGCAGCAGUAGGGAAUAUUGGACAAUGGGCGAAAGCCUGAUGCAGCCAUGCCGCGUGAGUGAAGAAGGUCUUCGGGUUGUAAAACCCUUUUGUUAGGAAAGAAAAGAAGUGGGUGAAUACACGGAUGUUCUGACGGUACCUAAAGAGUAAGCAACGGCUAACUACGUG
rnacentral:rRNA from 1 species